rnacentral:rRNA from 1 species
UACGUAGGUGGCAAGCGUUAUCCGGAAUUAUUGGGCGUAAAGCGCGCGCAGGCGGUGUCUUAAGUCUGAUGUGAAAGCCCACGGCUCAACCGUGGAGGGUCAUUGGAAACUGGGAAACUUGAGUGCAGAAGAGGAAAGUGGAAUUCCACGUGUAGCGGUGAAAUGCGUAGAGAUGUGGAGGAACACCAGUGGCGAAGGCGACUUUCUGGUCUGUAACUGACGCUGAGGCGCGAAAGCGUGGGGAGCAAACAGG